GCAGUCUGUCUCUUUUCCUCUCAUGCAUGUUUCUUGACUCCACCUUCCACAAUCCUCUGUGAAAUAAAUCUUACUCCACAUUGAAUUCAUUCAGUGGGAAGACGAUUUUAAAAAUCUAUGAGGAGAAAAAUCACAUAAGAUGAAGACUGUGGUUAUAUUGCCGUUGUUUCUCCUGACACUGGCCCUGGUCUUUGACAGCUGUCUUCCAGCAGAUGAUAGUGGGGGCAGCAG